rnacentral:rRNA from 1 species
UAGGGAAUCUUCCGCAAUGGACGAAAGUCUGACGGAGCAACGCCGCGUGAGUGAAGAAGGAUUUCGGUUCGUAAAACUCUGUUGUUAGGGAAGAAAAAAUGUAUAGUAACUAUAUACAAAAGAGACGGUACCUAACCAGAAAGCCACGGCUACUUAGGGGCCAGCAGCCGCGGUAAUACGUAGGUGGCAAGCGUUGUCCGGAAUUAUUGGGCGUAAAGCGCGCGCAGGUGGUUUAGAAAGUCUGAUGUGAAAGCCCACGGCUCAACCGUGGAGGGUCAUUGGAAACUAAAAAACUUGAGUGCAGGAGAGAAAAGUGGAAUUCCUAGUGUAGCGGUGAAAUGCGUAGAGAUUAGGAGGAACACCGGUGGCGAAAGCGGCUUUUUGGCCUGCAACUGACACUGAGGCGCGAAAGCGUGGGGAGCAAACAGG